GUUCAAUCAAAGAUUUAUUGACACAUAAUAUGUCCAACUUUUCUCUCACCGUCAUUUGUGCUUGAAAAUAAGUGUAAAAUGAUAUGUCAAUAUAUCAUUUGAUAAACAGCAAGUCGGAUAAACAUUUUUGGACAGCAAAUCUCAACUCAUUUUGUGUUGCCUUUUUUCUUCCUGCUUCUUCAUAACUUUUUUGUUAUGUUUAAUAUAUGGUUGCUACUUCGAAAAGAAAAGAUGGGUAGGGUCGGAGUCGAGGGUAAAGUAAUUCCAAAUUGACGGUGAAAAUGUGUUGAAAUCUCAAUCACUUAAAUGAAUUCUAUUUACAUAUAGUUACUUGCGCUUGGUCACCAUGCUUUUGACCUGUUAUUGACUUUGGGGUCAAUGUUACUAGGUUGAAAUUGUCAUGCUUAGUAGUCAGGUAGACUCAAAUAAGCGAAUUUGAGCUUCGUAAAUCUUGUUGAAUUUCAUGAACGAAUGAUUGAAUUUGAGCUCACGAGAAGAAUACCGCUUAAGGCGAUUUUAUCAUGUUAUUGUUCAGUCCGUUUUAAGUCGAUAGUGAUGAUUGUUUGUCUUCAUCAUGACAAAAGCUCACUAAAUGCUAGUGCCUGACUUAUGCCUUCUAUUUCGAGGUGGGGCUCCUUGCCUAUGCUUUUCUAUUCAUCAUGCUAAUUCUUUCUUUGUACUGCAAGUCAGCUUACGAUAUUAUCAUGCACAAGUCUAUGUUAUGGAUUAGUUUGUAAGGUUCUCAAUAUUUUACUCUCUCUUGAAGAUAUUUCCGAGUACUUCACAAAUUUUUUUGUGUCAUUACAGAGACGUGGGGGCAAGCUGCAAUCACCUGAAUCUUUUCCAAAUUUUGAAAGCUUUAGUUCAAAGGGAAGAACACUGGGUCAAUAAAGUGUAAAGAAUUGCUUGGAAGUUGGUGCCCCACCUAAAGCUAAGUUUUGAACAAAACUAGAGAUGAAACAUGGAGCUUUAAAAAGAGGUAUUCACAAUCAAACUCGGAUUAGUAUCGUGGGGUUAGAAAUUAAAAUGUAAGUUAUAAACAACAUAAUAUUAAUGAAAUUAUGUUAAUACAAUACUAUAAUUGUAGUUUACACAUCUUGAUACUUUGAAAACGUCAUAUAAUUAUAUCAUUAUUA
rnacentral:lncRNA from 1 species